rnacentral:rRNA from 1 species
ACCCGCUGAACUUAAGCAUAUCAAUAAGCGGAGGAAAAGAAACCAACAGGGAUUGCCCUAGUAACGGCGAGUGAAGCGGCAACAGCUCAAAUUUGAAAUCUGGCUUUCGGGCCCGAGUUGUAAUUUGUAGAGGAUACUUUUGAUGCGGUGCCUUCCGAGUUCCCUGGAACGGGACGCCAUAGAGGGUGAGAGCCCCGUCUGGUUGGGUGCCAAAUCUCUGUAAAGUUCCUUCGACGAGUCGAGUAGUUUGGGAAUGCUGCUCUAAAUGGGAGGUAUAUGUCUUCUAAAGCUAAAUAUUGGCCAGAGACCGAUAGCGCACAAGUAGAGUGAUCGAAAGAUGAAAAGCACUUUGAAAAGAGAGUUAAAAAGUACGUGAAACUGUUGAAAGGGAAGCGUUUAUGACCAGACUUGGACUUGGUUAAUCAUCUGGGGUUCUCUCCAGUGCACUUUUCCAGUUCAGGCCAGCAUCAGUUUUCGCCGGGGGAUAAAGGCAGCGGGAAUGUGGCUCUCUUCGGGGAGUGUUAUAGCCCGCUGUGUAAUACCCUGGUGGGGACUGAGGUUCGCGCUUCUGCAAGGAUGCUGGCGUAAUGGUCAU